UACGUAGGGGGCAAGCGUUGUCCGGAUUUAUUGGGCGUAAAGAGCGUGUAGGCGGCUGGGUAGGUCCGUUGUGAAAACUCGAGGCUCAACCUCGAGACGCCGAUGGAAACCCUCCAGCUAGAGUCCGGAAGAGGAGAGUGGAAUUCCUGGUGUAGCGGUGAAACGCGCAGAUAUCAGGAAGAACACCCGUGGCUAAGGCGGCUCUCUAGUACGGUACUGACGCUGAGACGCGAAAGCGUGGGGAGCGAACAGG
rnacentral:rRNA from 1 species